rnacentral:rRNA from 1 species
GGCGAACGCUGGCGGCGUGCUUAACACAUGCAAGUCGAACGGAAAGGCCCUGCUUUUGUGGGGUGCUCGAGUGGCGAACGGGUGAGUAACACAUGAGUAACCUGCCCUUGACUUUGGGAUAACUUCAGGAAACUGGGGCUAAUACCGGAUAGGAGCUCCUGCUGCAUGGUGGGGGUUGGAAAGUUUCGGCGGUUGGGGAUGGACUCGCGGCUUAUCAGCUUGUUGGUGGGGUAGUGGCUUACCAAGGCUUUGACGGGUAGCCGGCCUGAGAGGGUGACCGGCCACAUGGGGACUGAGAUACGGCCCAGACUCCUACGGGAGGCAGCAGUGGGGAAUAUUGCACAAUGGGCGGAAGCCCAAUGCAGCAACGCCGCGUGCGGGAUGACGGCCUUCGGGUUGUAAACCGCUUUCGCCUGUGACGAAGCGUGAGUGACGGUAAUGGGUAAAGAAGCACCGGCUAACUACGU